AGGAUAAACGCUGGCGGCGUGCCUAACACAUGCAAGUCGAACGCUCUUACCGCAAGGUGAGAGAGUGGCGGACGGGUGAGUAACACGUGGGUAUCUACCCAAAGGUGAGGAAUACCGGCGAGAAAUCGCCGACAAGACCGCAUAUGCUUCUCACGAAGCAAAGUCGCAAGACGCCUAUGGAUGAGCCUGCGUCCGAUUAGCUAGCUGGUGGGGUAAAAGCCUACCAGGGCGACGAUCGGUAGCUGGUCUGAGAGGACGAUCAGCCACACUGGGAUUGAGAACGGCCCAGACUCCUACGGGGGCAGCAGUGAGGAAUUUUCGUCAAUGGGGGCAACCCUGACGAGCAACGCCGCGUGCAGGAAGAAGGUUUUCGGAUCGUAAACUGCUUUUCUGUGGGAAGAGAACGGACGGUACCACAGGAAGAAGCCCCGGCUAACUACGCGCCAGCAGCCGC
rnacentral:rRNA from 1 species